rnacentral:rRNA from 1 species
AGAGUUUGAUCAUGGCUCAGAACGAACGCUGGCGGCGUGGAUAAGACAUGCAAGUCGAACGGGAUAUUGCUUGUAGCAAUACAAGCGAUGUCUAGUGGCGUAAGGGUGCGUAACACGUGGGCAAUCUGCCGAGAAGUGGGGGGAUAGCUCGCCGAAAGGCGAAUUAAUACCGCAUGUGGUCAAGGAAGACAUCUUCCUGACACCAAAGCCGGGGCAACCUGGCGCUUCUUGAUGAGCCCGCGGCCUAUCAGCUAGUUGGUGAGGUAACGGCUCACCAAGGCUAUGACGGGUAGCUGGUCUGAGAGGACGACCAGCCACACUGGAACUGAGACACGGUCCAGACACCUACGGGUGGCAGCAGUCGAGAAUUUUUCUCAAUGGGGGCAACCCUGAAGGAGCGACGCCGCGUGGAGGAUGAAGGUCUUCGGAUUGUAAACUCCUGUCAUUAGGGAACAAGUGCCGGCACUUAACUACUGCCGGCUUGAUAGUACCUGAAGAGGAAGAGACGGCUAACUCUGUGCCAGCAGCCGCGGUAAUACAGAGGUCUCAAGCGUUGUUCGGAUUCAUUGGGCGUAAAGGGUGCGUAGGUGGCGCCGUAAGUCAGGUGUGAAAUCUCGGGGCUCAACCCCGAAACUGCACUUGAUACUGCGGUGCUCGAGUACUGGAGAGGAGAUUGGAAUUUACGGUGUAGCAGUGAAAUGCGUAGAUAUCGUAAGGAAGACCAGUGGCGAAGGCGAAUCUCUGGACAGUUACUGACACUGAGGCACGAAGGCCAGGGGAGCAAACGGGAUUAGAUACCCUAGUAGUCC